AGUGUUGUGGCUCAGUGAUAGAGCGCUUGCCUAGCAUGCAUUAGACACUGGGUUUGAUCCUCAGCACCACAU
rnacentral:tRNA from 1 species